rnacentral:rRNA from 1 species
CUUCGGGGUUAGUGGCGCACGGGUGCGUAACGCGUGGGAAUCUGCCCUUUGCUUCGGAAUAACAGUUAGAAAUGACUGCUAAUACCGGAUGAUGUCUUCGGACCAAAGAUUUAUCGGCAAGGGAUGAGCCCGCGUGGGAUUAGGUAGUUGGUGGGGUAAAGGCCUACCAAGCCGACGAUCCUUAGCUGGUCUGAGAGGAUGAUCAGCCACACUGGGACUGAGACACGGCCCAGACUCCUACGGGAGGCAGCAGUGGGGAAUAUUGGACAAUGGGCGCAAGCCUGAUCCAGCAAUGCCGCGUGAGUGAUGAAGGCCUUCGGGUCGUAAAGCUCUUUUACCAGGGAUGAUAAUGACAGUACCUGGAGAAUAAGCUCCGGCUAACUCCGUGCCAGCAGCCGCGGUAAUACGGAGGGAGCUAGCGUUGUUCGGAAUUACUGGGCGUAAAGCGCACGUAGGCGGCGACACAAGUCAGAGGUGAAAGCCCGGGGCUCAACCCCGGAACUGCCUUUGAAACUAGGUUGCUAGAAUCUUGGAGAGGUCAGUGGAAUUCCGAGUGUAGAGGUGAAAUUCGUAGAUAUUCGGAAGAACACCAGUGGCGAAGGCGACUGACUG